CCUCACCCUCGUAAGACUACCCGCUGAACUUAAGCAUAUCAA
rnacentral:rRNA from 1 species